rnacentral:lncRNA from 1 species
AAGUGUGCGCACGUGUAUGUGAGUGUCUGCGUCUAUACCGUGUGAUUCGGAAAAAAACAAACCUAAAAUAUCCGAGUUUUUGAGUUGGCGACGAGCACAUGAGAGAUAGCUUAAUUAUAUACCGAUCUGAAAUCGGUAGCGCGCAAGGAUUAAUCAUCGUUCGUCACCGGUAUUACUGAAUUUUACAAGGACGCGUGAAACACGGAGAAGGAAAAGAAAACUUUGCACCGACUGGCUCGCUCGAGGAUCGUGACGGAUUCUUGUCCUGGUGUGCAACAAUCUCAUACGACGAAUAUACCCCCGGCCCAUGAUCCUAUGGCCCCUGUUCGCACCUGCUUACUGCUGUGCGGCCGACAGGCGGGACCGAGGGAGGAGGAAUAAUAUUGUCGCCGUCUCUUCAAAUUGGCAUGGGACGUGUUUCAUUUCAUUUGCCCGGACACAAUCUCAGGUGGUCAGUCCGAAAUAAAGAAUCGAGUCCAAUUUGAU